rnacentral:rRNA from 1 species
GUUCCCCUUGAACGAGGAAUUCCUAGUAAGCGCAUGUCAUCAGCAUGUGCUGAUUACGUCCCUGCAAAAUGUACACACCGCCCGUCGCUAUUACCGAUUGGGUGUAUAGGUGAACCUUCUCGACAGUCGCAAGACUAGAAAUUAAGUAAACCUUUGCACCUAGAGGAAAUAAAAGUCGUAACAAGGUUUCCGUAGGUGAACCUGCGGAAGGAUC